UUUCAGGCCCGAAGCCACUACUUAAAGGCAGCUUUGCAAACAAACUCUUGACGCUGUCUGUAAAACGUUUAUGAAACACACACAAGAACUUUGCAUAUUCCAAGUAAGAAGUGUUGCCAGUAAAACGUUAACGAAAACUACGUCAAGUAGAAAUCUAUAAGAGUGACCGCAAAUUAAUUUCGUACAAUUGAAGCGAACUUCGACCACGCCCUGCCGUUCUGAGGAGUGGGCGCUAUCCUUGUCACGCUUGCGGUCAAAGGGGCCAGGACGAGACGGCCUCCGCUGCCAUCGCCUCGCCCGCCAACCACAAAACUCACUUUGAGCUGUGACACGACAAAAUGUCUCAAAACGAAAAGAGAAAGAAGUAGCAGAAUUGCAUAUACAACAACGAAAGAGGAAGACACAAGCGAUGAGAGCGAGAUAGCAGCAGUGAAUAAGGAAAUCGAC